rnacentral:rRNA from 1 species
CCCUUAGACGUUCUGGGCCGCACGCGCGCUACACUGACGGAGCCAGCGAGUAUAAACCUUGGCCGAGAGGUCUGGGAAAUCUUGUGAAACUCCGUCGUGCUGGGGAUAGAGCAUUGUAAUUAUUGCUCUUCAACGAGGAAUUCCUAGUAAGCGCAAGUCAUCAGCUUGCGUUGAUUACGUCCCUGCCCCUUGUACACACCGCCCGUCGCUACUACCGAUUGAAUGGCUUAGUGAGGCUUCCGGAUUGGUUUAGAGAAGGGGGCAACUCCAUCUUGGAACCGAGAAGCUAGUCAAACUUGGUCAUUUAGAGGAAGUAAAAGUCGUAACA